UGGGGAAUAUUGCACAAUGGGCGCAAGCCUGAUGCAGCCAUGCCGCGUGUAUGAAGAAGGCCUUCGGGUUGUAAAGUACUUUCAGUCGGGAGGAAGGUGGUAAGGUUAAUAACCUUAUCAAUUGACGUUACCGACAGAAGAAGCACCGGCUAACUCCGUGCCAGCAGCCGCGGUAAUACGGAGGGUGCAAGCGUUAAUCGGAAUUACUGGGCGUAAAGCGCACGCAGGCGGUUGAUUGAGUCAGAUGUGAAAUCCCCGGGCUUAACCCGGGAAUUGCAUCUGAUACUGGUCAGCUAGAGUCUUGUAGAGGGGGGUAGAAUUCCAUGUGUAGCGGUGAAAUGCGUAGAGAUGUGGAGGAACACCAGUGGCGAAGGCGGCUCUCUGGUCUGUAACUGACGCUGAGGCUCGAAAGCGUGGGGAGCAAACAGG
rnacentral:rRNA from 1 species